rnacentral:rRNA from 1 species
UACAGAGGUCUCAAGCGUUGUUCGGAUUCAUUGGGCGUAAAGGGUGCGCAGGCGGUUUGUUAAGACAGAUGUGAAAUCCCCGGGCUCAACCUGGGAACUGCAUUUGUGACUGCACAGCUGGAGUGCGGCAGAGGGGGAUGGAAUUCCGCGUGUAGCAGUGAAAUGCGUAGAUAUGCGGAGGAACACCGAUGGCGAAGGCAAUCCCCUGGGCCUGCACUGACGCUCAUGCACGAAAGCGUGGGGAGCAAACAGG